rnacentral:rRNA from 1 species
UAGGAAUUUUGCGCAAUGGGGGAAACCCUGACGCAGCAACGCCGCGUGAGUGAUGAAGGCCUUCGGGUUGUAAAACUCUUUUAGCUGGAAAGAAAAAAAUGACAAUACCAGCAGAAACAGCACCGGCUAACCCUGUGCCAGCAGCCGCGGUAAUACAGGGGGUGCGAGCGUUAUUCGGAAUUAUUGGGCGUAAAGAGCGUGUAGGUGGUUCGUUAAGUCUGGUGUGAAAUCCCUGGGCUCAAUCCAGGAAGUGCAUUGGAUACUGGCGAACUAGAGUGCAGGAGGGGAGAGCGGAAUUCCAGGUGUAGAGGUGAAAUUCGUAGAUAUCUGGAGGAACAACAGUGGCGAAGGCGGCUCUCUGGACUGUUACUGACACUAAGGCGCGAAAGCGUGGGGAGCAAAC